UCUUAGAAUGAGUCUUAAAUCUCAUUUUCACAAAAUUUAUAUUUCCACACUUUUAUUUUUAAAUUUCAAAUUUCAUUAAAAUUAAAAUUCAAAAUUACAAUAAUUAAAAUAAAAUUAAAGACAUAAUUAAAAUACAAUAAAAAAAUAAAAAUUAUGAUAAAAAAAUUAGAAUUUUAAAAUUUUUAAAAAUAAAAAAUCAAAUCAAACUCAAAAAACAAAAAUAAUAAAUAAAACAAAACAUAUUAAAAAUAUUUUUAAAAAAAGUCGAACACCUACCCACCUACCCUUUUCUUCCCCCAUCGUCUUCCCUGAAAUUUUCCCUUUCUCUGCAACUGAUUUCCUGCCUAAAUUUUUUUCUCUCUCUAAAGUUUCGUUUCUUCCCCAGGUUUGUUUCAUUUUUUUUAUUUAAACCGUGUGCGUGUAGCGCACGGAUCUCUCAACCAAAGCCUUCGGCCCGCGUUGUAGCUUCGCCCCGGCUUCGACCCAGCCGAGGUCUCCAACGCAGUGCUUCUUCCAUCGCCCUGGAUCGAUGCGGGUCUUCAACACCGCGUUGGAGAUGCUAGUACUUCACCCCUCCUCCGCUGCCUGCCGCAGGAAAAAAAACAGCGGCGGAGUCCACUUGCCACCACAUCCGUCGCCCAAGACGGUGGUGGAAAUGCCGGCUUCCGAUCGUUUUAGCAGAGGAUGAUCCGUUGAGCUUCCUCUGCCGCCGCAACUCCAGAUAUUUAUGUAAAAGCGCAGAGUUACUAGCUCUUCAGUUCGUGAUUCUCAGGUCCGGCAGGCGGCAGCGCCGCCGCAUCGGGGCUAUCCAGCAACUACAAUAAGAGGAGAAGAGGGAGGGAGAGAGAGAUGUAGUCAGAGUUGUCGGAGGAGGCGGCAGCUACUUUCUCAGAGACAUGGAGCGAGAGAUUGAGAGUAGAUUUUUUUCAUUUUAAUACAAAUGGGUCAGGGUCAACAAUGUGGGCAGGAUACAAUCCUGAUGUAUGAUACACUUGAAUGUCUAAGAUAUUUUGUAUUAUUUUUAAUAUUGAACAUCAUGUUCUUUUUUUCAUUU